AUGGUGGCGGAGGUCAAUAAACUGGAACUGAUGGUCCAGAAAGCUGACUCUGAUUUGGACUACCUUCAAUAUAGGCUGGAAUAUGAAAUCAAAACUAAUCACCCUCAUUCAGCAGGACAGAAAAAUGCAGUUGCAAUUUUAAAGGAAUUAUCAGCAAUAAGGUCUCAAUAUCAAGCUUUAUAUGCAGCUUUAAGGCAGUUUCUGUUGAGCAAAGAGACCAAGAGCUGCAUUUGUGGUAUUUUGAACAAGACAAUGACCAUGAUACAAGAACUACAAAAGCAAACAAACCUGGAGCUUACUCUACUGACUGAAGAAGAGAAAGCUGUGACAGAGCAAUUAAGUCUCACAUGCCAGACUUAUAA
rnacentral:lncRNA from 1 species